rnacentral:antisense_RNA from 1 species
UGUAAGCAACCAAGGCAUGUUGACAUAAUUCAGAACGUACACAGUCGUCCUUAUCAAACGUCACAAUACCCACCAUUUCAUCUUCUAUAAACCGCUCCAGAGCAUCACAGAGCCCCGACUUCACACUUGACGGCAAAUCACAUUGCGUAAUAUCACCGUUUACUAUCACUGUUACAUUUUCACCCAAACGCGUU